GUCUAUUCAUUUCGACGAUUCCAUUUUCAAUGUAUGCCCAGUAAAUCGAUUCAUUCCUGUUCUGAGGCUUACCAAACCUUCAACCUUCCUCCCCUAAAAACUUCCUAGUCUGGUUCCCUUCUCAUCUCAUAUCGGCCUUGCUCCUCAGCGUAUUCCGGAACACCCAUAUCCAGGUAUAUUUCUUCUCCUCUCCUUAGCGUUUCUGUUGCUAGAAUAUGUGCUAGACUAUUUGCCGAUCUUGGUGCAUGUUGGAAUCUUAUCUUAUCAAGCCCGUAUAUUUGCUAUUGGAUAUCAUAAAUGUAUGUUCCUAUCAUUGAUUUAUCUUGACCCUUUAUAUUGCAUUUCUUGAUGACUGCGAGGGAAUCUUCUUCAAAAAUCAGAAACUGCCAUCCCUUCCCGGUUCCUAUUUGGACUGCUUUCCGGCAGGAUAUUGCUUCUGCAGCAAAUGCCGACAAGAUAUUUUCAUGGAUUUCUGUACAUGAUAAGAGGAUUUUCCCUUCUGAAUCUCUUACCACAACUCCGGAGGCCGAGCGGUUCUGGCUUUUAUUGAAGGCCCCGUCAAAAUUGAUCUUAAUGAACCCUCCCUGUGGCCUUUUCCAUCUUAUUUUUCCCUCGAGUGCACAACAGAAGAGUCUAUUGUGAUAAAGGUUAAGCUUCUCCAGCACCCAGGACAGUCACGAAAAAGAUGAUUCAUUGUUUCAGCUCCUUCACCGCAACGGGGACAACUUUGGUUAACUGUUAACUUUCGAUGCUGAAGGUUCACCUUUGUAGGCAAAUAGUUCCACGAUAACCUCCAUAUUGUGACCUUUAUUUUUGUUGGUAGACUUAGGCUCCAAAGUUUUUUGUAAAAAUUUCUGUAGAUGGUUUGUAAAGCAUAAGCUUUAGGAUUGUCAAUCGAUCUCUGUAAUAGUUUGUAGGCGCUUCUGAUCGUAAAUUCACCCGACAUCUCACCUCCCAAGAACAUAAAAUCUUCGUGCGGUGUUUGCGCCAGAGGGAUUCUGAGGAUUCUUGCAGCAUCUUCUUCCGUAAAGGUAUUAUUGAUCAACUCUACUUUCCAGCUUCUGUUAUUACUGUCAAUCAACUCCUCAACAUUAGAAACA